UACAGAGGUCUCAAGCGUUGUUCGGAAUUACUGGGCGUAAAGGGUGCGCAGGCCGCGCGGGCAGUCAAAUGUGUAAUCCAGGGGCUCAACCCCUGAACUGCGCUUGAUACUUCCGCGCUCGAGCUUUGGAGAGGAGUCUGGAAUUCUCGGUGUAGCAGUGAAAUGCGUGGAUAUCGAGAAGAACACUUAGGGCGUAGGCAGGACUCUGGACAAAUGCUGACGCUCAUGCGCGAAGGCUAGGGUAGCGAACGGG
rnacentral:rRNA from 1 species